CCUACGGGGGACAGCAGUGCGGACUAUUGGUCAAUGGGCGGGAGCCUGAACCAGCCACGCCGCGUGAGGGAAGAAGGUACAGCGUAUCGUACACCUCUUUUGUCAGGGAACAAAGGCGGGGACUAGUCCCCGGAUGAGGGUACCUGAAGCAAAAGCAUCGGCUAACUCCGUGCCAGCAGCCGCGGUAAUACGGGGGAUGCGAGCUUUAUCCGGAUUUAUUGGGUUUCAAGGGGGCGCAGGCGGCCUGUUAAGUCAGCGGUAAAAGCCCGGGGCUCAACCCCGGCGAGCCGUUGAAACUGGCGGGCUGGAGUUGGAGAGAAGUACGCGGAAUGCGCGGUGUAGCGGUGAAAUGCUGAGAUAUCGCGCAGAACCCCGAUUGCGAAGGCAGCGUACCGGCUCCACACUGACGCUGAGGCACGAAAGCGUGGGUAUCGAACAGGAUUAGAUACCCGUGUAGUC
rnacentral:rRNA from 1 species